UACGGAGGGAGCUAGCGUUGUUCGGAAUUACUGGGCGUAAAGCGCACGUAGGCGGCUUUGUAAGUUAGAGGUGAAAGCCCGGAGCUCAUCUCCGGAACUGCCUUUAAGACUGCAUCGCUUGAAUCCAGGAGAGGUGAGUGGAAUUCCGAGUGUAGAGGUGAAAUUCGUAGAUAUUCGGAAGAACACCAGUGGCGAAGGCGGCUCACUGGACUGGUAUUGACGCUGAGGUGCGAAAGCGUGGGGAGCAAACAGG
rnacentral:rRNA from 1 species